rnacentral:rRNA from 1 species
UGAGCAAUCUGCCCUUCUCUUCGGAAUAAGCGUUGGAAACGACGUCUAAUGCCGAAUACGACCUCCUUUCGCAUGAUCGGAGGUGGAAAGCUCCGGCGGAGAAGGAUGAGCUCGCGGCCUAUCAGCUAGUUGGUGUGGGUAAUGGCCCACCAAGGCGACGACGGGUAGCCGGCCUGAGAGGGUGACCGGCCACACUGGGACUGAGACACGGCCCAGACUCCUAUGGGAGCAG